rnacentral:rRNA from 1 species
GACGAACGCUGGCGGCGUGCUUAACACAUGCAAGUCGAACGGAAAGGCCCUGCUUUUGUGGGGUGCUCGAGUGGCGAACGGGUGAGUAACACGUGAGUAACCUGCCCUUGACUUUGGGAUAACUUCAGGAAACUGGGGCUAAUACCGGAUAGGAGCUCCUGCUGCAUGGUGGGGGUUGGAAAGUUUCGGCGGUUGGGGAUGGACUCACGGCUUAUCAGCUUGUUGGUGGGGUAGUGGCUUACCAAGGCUUUGACGGGUAGCCGGCCUGAGAGGGUGACCGGCCACAUUGGGACUGAGAUACGGCCCAGACUCCUACGGGAGGCAGCAGUGGGGAAUAUUGCACAAUGGGCGGAAGCCUGAUGCAGCAACGCCGCGUGCGGGAUGACGGCCUUCGGGCUGUAAACCGCUUUCGCCUGUGACGAAGCGUGAGUGACGGUAAUGGGUAAAGAAGCACCGGCUAACUACGUG